rnacentral:rRNA from 1 species
UACAGAGACUGCAAGCGUUAUUCGGAUUCACUGGGCGUAAAGGGUGCGCAGGCGGCCAAGUGUGUUAGGCGUGAAAGCCCGGGGCUUAACCCCGGAAUUGCACCUAAACUACAUGGCUAGAGCAUUGGAGAGGGUAGCGGAAUUCACGGUGUAGCAGUGAAAUGCGUAGAUAUCGUGAGGAACACCAGAGGCGAAGGCGGCUACCUGGACAAUUGCUGACGCUCAGGCACGAAAGCGUGGGGAGCAAAAGGG